rnacentral:misc_RNA from 1 species
CCAUUACCCUACUGAUGAGCCUUUCCUUUUAAAGUUCAAUUUUAUAUGUUGGAUCUCAAUGAGAACUUUUUAUUGCACUAAAUUAUAUUAUUGUUUAGAUAUUAUUUUUUAAGAAAAACUUAAUAGUCUUUUGGAAGGCUUUACAGUCAUAAUUCAGUUCUUACAUUACUGAUCAUAAGAGUAUACUGUUGAGUGUUGCCAUUGUGUUGGAGAGGACAGUGACUUCUUUUCCCAC